GAUGAACGCUGGCGGCGUGCCUAAUACAUGCAAGUCGAGCGAACAGACGAGGAGCUUGCUCCUCUGACGUUAGCGGCGGACGGGUGAGUAACACGUGGAUAACCUACCUAUAAGACUGGGAUAACUUCGGGAAACCGGAGCUAAUACCGGAUAAUAUAUUGAACCGCAUGGUUCAAUAGUGAAAGACGGUUUUGCUGUCACUUAUAGAUGGAUCCGCGCCGCAUUAGCUAGUUGGUAAGGUAACGGCUUACCAAGGCAACGAUGCGUAGCCGACGUGAGAGCGUGAUCGCCAAAACUGGAACUGAGACACGGUCCAGACUCCUACGGGAGGCAGCAGUAGGGAAGCUUACGCAAUGGGCGAACGCCUGACGGAGCAACGCCGCGUGAGUGAUGAAGGUCUUCGGAUCGUAAAACUCUGUUAUUAGGGAUGAACAAAUGUGUAAGUAACUAUGCACGUCUUGACGGUACCUAAUCAGAAAGCCACGGCUAACUACGUG
rnacentral:rRNA from 1 species